rnacentral:rRNA from 1 species
GACGAACGCUGGCGGCGCGCUUAACACAUGCAAGUCGAGCGAGAACCGGGUCUUCGGACCCGGGGAAAGCGGCGAACGGGUGAGUAACACGUGAGUAAUCCACCCUCGGCACCGGGAUAGCCCGGGGAAACCCGGAUUAAUACCGGAUGGCCCAACAGCUCUUCGGGGCGGUUGGAAAAGGUAGCUUCGGCCUCCGGCCGAGGACGAGCUCGCGGCGGAUUAGCUUGUUGGUGGGGUAAUGGCCUACCAAGGCAACGAUCCGUAGCUGGUCUGAGAGGACGAUCAGCCACACUGGGGCUGAGACACGGCCCAGACUCCUACGGGAGGCAGCAGUGGGGAAUCUUGCGCAAUGGGCGAAAGCCUGACGCAGCGACGCCGCGUGAGGGAAGAAGGCUUUCGGGUUGUAAACCUCUUUCAGGAGGGACGAAGCUACUCGGGUUAAUAGCCCAGAGGGUGACGGUACCUCCAGAAGAAGCCCCGGCUAACUACGUGCCAGCCGCCGCAGUAAUAC